AGUGAACGCUGGCGGUAGGCCUAACACAUGCAAGUCGAACGGCAGCACAGUAAGAGCUUGCUCUUACGGGUGGCGAGUGGCGGACGGGUGAGGAAUACGUCGGAAUCUACUUUUUCGUGGGGGAUAACGUAGGGAAACUUACGCUAAUACCGCAUACGACCUACGGGUGAAAGCAGGGGAUCUUCGGACCUUGCGCGAUUGAAUGAGCCGAUGUCGGAUUAGCUAGUUGGCGGGGUAAAGGCCCACCAAGGCGACGAUCCGUAGCUGGUCUGAGAGGAUGAUAAGCCACACUGGAACUGAGACACGGUCCAGACUCCUACGGGAGGAAGCAGUGGGGAAUAUUGGACAAUGGGCGCAAGCAUGAUCCAGCCAUACCGCGUGGGUGAAGAAGGCCUUCGGGUUGUAAAGCCCUUUUGUUGGGAAAGAAAAGCAGCAGGUUAAUACCCCGCUGUUCUGACGGUACCCAAAGAAUAAGCACCGGCUAACUUCGUG
rnacentral:rRNA from 1 species